AUUGAACGCUGGCGGCAGGCCUAACACAUGCAAGUCGAGCGGAUGAAGGGAGCUUGCUCCUGGAUUCAGCGGCGGACGGGUGAGUAAUGCCUAGGAAUCUGCCUGGUAGUGGGGGAUAACGUCCGGAAACGGGCGCUAAUACCGCAUACGUCCUGAGGGAGAAAGUGGGGGAUCUUCGGACCUCACGCUAUCAGAUGAGCCUAGGUCGGAUUAGCUAGUUGGUGGGGUAAAGGCCUACCAAGGCGACGAUCCGUAACUGGUCUGAGAGGAUGAUCAGUCACACUGGAACUGAGACACGGUCCAGACUCCGACGGGAGGCAGCAGUGGGGAAUAUUGGACAAUGGGCGAAAGCCUGAUCCAGCCAUGCCGCGUGUGUAAGAAGGUCUUCGGAUUGUAAAGCACUUUAAGUUGGGAGGAAGGGCAGUAAGUUAAUACCUUGCUGUUUUGACGUUACCAACAGAAUAAGCACCGGCUAACUUCGUG
rnacentral:rRNA from 1 species